rnacentral:rRNA from 1 species
UGCGGCGGGGGCGUGCCUUAAUAAUGCAAGUCGAGCGAAUGGAUUAAGAGCUUGCUCUUAUGAAGUUAGCGGCGGACGGGUGAGUAACACGUGGGUAACCUGCCCAUAAGACUGGGAUAACUCCGGGAAACCGGGGCUAAUACCGGAUAACAUUUUGAACCGCAUGGUUCGAAAUUGAAAGGCGGCUUCGGCUGUCACUUAUGGAUGGACCCGCGUCGCAUUAGCUAGUUGGUGAGGUAACGGCUCACCAAGGCAACGAUGCGUAGCCGACCUGAGAGGGUGAUCGGCCACACUGGGACUGAGACACGGCCCAGACUCCUACGGGAGGCAGCAGUAGGGAAUCUUCCGCAAUGGACGAAAGUCUGACGGAGCAACGCCGCGUGAGUGAUGAAGGCUUUCGGGUCGUAAAACUCUGUUGUUAGGGAAGAACAAGUGCUAGUUGAAUAAGCUGGCACCUUGACGGUACCUAACCAGAAAGCCACGGCUAACUACGUGCCAGCAGCCGCGGUAAUACGUAGGUGGCAAGCGUUAUCCGGAAUUAUUGGGCGUAAAGCGCGCGCAGGUGGUUUCUUAAGUCUGAUGUGAAAGCCCACGGCUCACCCGUGGAGGGUCAUUGGAAACUGGGAGACUUGAGUGCAGAAGAGGAAAGUGGAAUUCCAUGUGUAGCGGUGAAAUGCGUAGAGAUAUGGAGGAACACCAGUGGCGAAGGCGACUUUCUGGUCUGUAACUGACACUGAGGCGCGAAAGCGUGGGGAGCAACCCGUAGUAAAUAACCUGGU